rnacentral:rRNA from 1 species
AUGGAAAUGCCAGAAUCACAACGUUCUGGUAACCCUCGGGGCAUCCCACUCGUCUGGCUUCAUGAUAACUUUCUUAAUUUAUCUAGCUUCGCCAAUGAGGAGACGAGAAAAAGACAUCUGUUUGCGUAUUUGUUGUGGCUCCUCGGGAAUCUAUUUUCAAAUUCACAUGGGGACGUUGUUGUCCCUGGUCUCAUCUACAUUGCAGAGAAUAUGAUAGAUGAACCUUUACCUGAGCAGCCAAAAUACAGCUUCGGUUCUGCCAUGCUAUCUCAUACAUACAGAGGCUUGUGUGAUGCCACACAAAAAACCUCUUUCGCACAAAAAGCUCCAUUACUUUGUGUCGCCUAUGAGUUUCUACAGUUGUGGUCCUGGGAAUACCUCCCUGUAGGACGACCUCGUAUAGUACAACCCAUAUACCCAUACGACUUUGGCGAGGGUGCUAGCGCAACUAUGGCCACCAGGUGGACAAAGGCACGGAAACGUUGGUCUCCAGAUAUUGCGAAAAAUUGUUACCCUUUGUACCACCAGCAGUUUGAGAUACUUGAUGAGGCAGAAGUCACAGAACCCGUGGACUCAGGACCAGCUAAAAAUGGUCUUUGA